rnacentral:tRNA from 1 species
UGGUAGUUCAGUUGGUUAGAAUACCGGCCUGUCACGCCGGGGGUCGCGGGUUCGAGUCCCGUCCACUCCG